GGUCUAUUAACUCAGUUGGUUAGAGCGUGGUACUAAUAAUGCCAAGGUCACAGGUUCGACCUCUGUAUCGACCA
rfam:Sphaerobolus stellatus SS14 unplaced genomic scaffold SPHSTscaffold_79, whole genome shotgun sequence.